UUACAACAUAGUGUGUCCAUAGGGCAUACAGACUCCAGAGAUCUAACUUAAAAACUACUCCUAGAAAAGCAAUAAAUGCAGAUAAAAAAGAUUACAUGUAGAACUACUCCUAGAAAACGAUAAAUGCAGGAAAGGAAAGUAUUGAAAAUGCGGUGGUCUUCUCGUUCAAGGGAGAGAAAGACCUCUAUUGUAGGUUUCGAAAUUACUAUUUAUAGUGAUGUCUUCUCAGCCCACAUUAUUUGUCGAUUUUUAGUAGUGAGGGGAGUGGUGUAGUCAUGAUCGCGGAAGUUACACCCCACUUCUCAACCGUUCCCGCCUAAUUUUAAUUUUGACAUUAACACAUGUACUCCUACUUUUUUUUUCUUUUCAU
rnacentral:lncRNA from 1 species